rnacentral:rRNA from 1 species
GUCCACGCCGUAAACGAUGGGCACUAGGUGUUCGGGGUAUUGACCCCCUGAGUGCCGCAGCUAACGCAUUAAGUGCCCCGCCUGGGGAGUACGGCCGCAAGGUUAAAACUCAAAGGAAUUGACGGGGCCCGCACAAGCGGUGGAGCAUGUGGUUCAAUUCGACGCAACGCGAAGAACCUUACCUGGGCUAGACAACAUCGGACAGCCCCAGAAAUGGGGUCUUCCCGCAAGGGACUGGUGGUUCAGGUGCUGCAUGGCUGUCGU